rnacentral:lncRNA from 1 species
AGAGAGAGAGAGAGGGGAACAUGAAUACAUCAUUGCCAGACCUGAUGAUCAAAGCUGACUUUUCUUUGCAGUUGUCCAAUCCACAGUCAGACCUGAUGCCUGAAACCUGCCAACCCCUACUUCUCUGCUGUUAGGUUAAGUAACAACUAGUUGUUUCUCCCCCUCCCUGCUUACAGCUUCCCUCACAGGGCCUUAGAGCUCAUCCGCAACCUGCCUUCAAAUAGUCCUUCCUGCAAAACACAGAGCUGUGUGGCCCUUCGUGUUGAGUCAGAUACGCUCACUGACAGUGACUUGGCUAUGAGCUUGUAUUCCUCGUGCUUUGCUCUUUGAAGACUGUAAAAUUGUGUCCUCUUGUGUACACAUGUAAAGUUUGGGGGGGGGGGAACCUUGUGAGUUUUGCUCAAAAUGUGGCCUAAAUAUUCAUUGGCAUGUCUAUCCAGAUGAACAUUUAAAAAUAAAGAUAAUUUCUUUAAAAUAUCACAA